rnacentral:lncRNA from 10 species
UCUCGCCAUUGCUCCAUCCAUGAAAUGCACUCUUCUAUACAAGUAAAUUGCCUUGCUGAGAAAAUUUUUGCUGAAGUGCUAUUUCUUUUGCGGCACCGAAAGUUUAUUUCUAACACUUGGUAUGAAGACUUAAUUUCUGAAUUAAAGAAGAUUCGUGGACCUUGUCUCCAACUAGAGGAGCUCUAGCGUACUGAAGGACACUGAGAGAGGCAGUGCCUUGUUCUCCGAUACAUCCUCCAGGAGGAGUCGCAGUGCCUGGAAGGAUGUUGCCAGUUCAAAAGUGCAGAAGCCAUACACACAGAGAAACUAGCUGUCACACAGAGGGUGAACAAGGAUUGUCAGGAUGUGACUAUGGAAGCCAGGAACUUGAAUGACAUGUGAUUUAUAUGAUGUAUUUAUUUCUCCCCCACUACCAUUCCUUGAGUAUACUGUUUUUUCCACCUUCAAUCUGAAGAAUUAUAGAAAUAAAAAAAGUCAAGAUAAUCAUUAAUGAAAAGGGUCAUUAGAAUGAUACCAAAUUUCAACUUCCAAUGGCACAUGGACACUGUAGAGAUCAAUGUGAUCUGAAAUUUUACUAACAGUUUUUAAUUACUGUCUCUCUUUAAAAUGAUCUGAUUGUAUUUUCCUGAAAACAAUAAUCAUCUAGAAGCAUUGCAAUAUCCAUAUUGUUACCCCCACCUUUUAUCCAUAUUGAUUAAGCUAUCUAUCCUGAGAUUAAAUUUACAAAAUAGAUUUAACAAGUUUUGGUGAUGUAAUAUAGCCUCCCAAUUAUGCAACUGUUACUCCUAAUAUUACCUAAGAAAGAUGUUUGAAUGGAACCACUGAAUUAAAGUCUUGGAAGAAUUUUAUUUAGUCUAGGGCUGAUUGCAUUUUAAUUUUUGUAAACAUUUGCUAGUUGUCAAUACUCACUUUUACUUCUUGAAAGACUUAAUAUACAUUCUGGGACCCUAAAG